CUCACUUCGAACACAGCAAAAGUCAGUUUCAGUCAUUGCAGUCAACAUUUCGCUGUGCGUUUUAAAAGUCGAAUUAUAUUCUUACAAUCAAUGUGCAUAAGAAAGUGAGAACAAAUUAGAGUUUGCAUUACCGCUUCAUAUAGCACUACUGUGAAGAUCGACAAAGUCGUUAUUCUUACGACAAAAAGAGAACAGCGACUUUACAAAGUUUUGUCUACUUCUGCAUUUAUCGUACAUAGAAUUUCCGCAUUGAAAAUGACGGUCGCCAUUGAAGAAGAAUUUGAGUUCGAUCAGCCGCCGUACGAAGUCGCAGAGUUGAUGCAUGACAACGAUGUUCCUGGCUUUACGUGUUACGUAUAUAGGAAUUUAAAUUUGCCGAUUAUAACAGCUGUGUGGAGUAUGGCACCAGAUUGUGAUAUAAUCAUUCAGAACGG